CUUCCAGAAACGCCCUCACAGACACCCCGGAAGUCACGUACCCACUCUGUAGGUGCCCCGGGGCACAGGCAAGCGGACGAGCCAGUUAUCCCUCAGAGCUCCUGCUGCCUCGCCCGCUUUCUCUCGGAAACGUGAAGUGUGGCCUCAGCUGAAAGUGAGGUGGGCCUCAUUCAAUCAGUUGAAUUCUUCAAGAGAGAAAAACUGAAGUCCCUUAGAAGGAAAGAGUUCUGCCUUCAGACUGUCUUUGAACUUAAGACUGUAGCGUCGACUCCUGCCGGAAUUUCCAGCCUGCUGGCCAGCUCUGCAGAUUCACACUUGCCAGCCUCCACAAUCGGACAUGACCCUAUGCCAGCCCACACCACAGUCUUGGUCAUCACUCCUGUUUCCAUGGUGUUAACAGCAGCAGUUACUUGGUUACGGAGAGCUUUUCCUUACGCCAGCACCCUAUCCAUAUCGCUUGGACAGUACGUACACAAUGGUGAUGUUAUUGCUCGUCAUGUAUUACUAGUAAGAGCUUUGUCCCAGCAAGGAAGCCACCCAUGCAUCCACCAAACAUGAGAAACUCAAUCCCCAAAUCUCGUUUUGAAGUUCUGGUUCCUAGUCCAUUCCUAGUAGCCACAAUGAGAUCAGUCAGGGUCUUAGGAGGAAAAAACAUUCACACAGAUGUUUUAAAUGAAGGGACCUUAAUGACUAAACUACUAACAGACCUGUUGGCAUAUUAAGGAAAGAAAUGAGAGAGAUGGGGAAACUAAGGACUGGUAACAG
rnacentral:lncRNA from 1 species